ACCCGACACAGCUGUGAUUGUUUUGUGCAGUGGAAGCUCCUGUGCCUGCUAUGAGCUGUGUGCUGUGGAAUGGAGCAGAGCUGUUUGUUUUCUCCUCUAACGAUGAUGUGAACGAGAUUUGAGUCUUUACGCACAGAACAAGACGUCUCCAGAUCAAGCCUUAAAGUGCCAAAUGCCCAGAUUAGAGGACCACUGUUGGAGCUGCUCCUGUGCAUCAAGUGUUGAGACUAAACACUCAUCCGGAGCUCACUGGUUAGCAUCCAAAGCUGAAGAAAUGAUGUCCAUAAUCACCUCUGUGCUCAGCAACGCGUACGGGUCUCUGCACGAUGUGCGCACGGCCAAUCUGAUCCGCAGGGGUCUCGUGCUCUUCACCGUGGGGGCUUUCCUGGCCCUGGUGCUCAACUUGCUGCAGAUUCAGAGAAAUGUCACCUUGUUUCCCGAGGAGGUGAUGGCAACUUUGUUUUCGUCUGCCUGGUGGAUCCCUCCGUGCUGCGGCACAGGGGCCGCUGUGGUUGGUCUGCUGUAUCCGUGCCUCGACAAACACCUGGGAGAGCCGCACAAGUUCAAGAGGGAGUGGGCCAGCGUCAUGAGGUGCAUCGCAGUGUUCGUGGGCAUCAACCACGCCAGUGUUAAGCUCGACUUCGACAACAACGUGCAGCUCUCCCUCACGCUGGCGGCUCUAUCUCUGGGUCUCUGGUGGACGUUCGAUCGGUCCAGGAGCGGCUUCGGUUUGGGCAUCACCACCGCCGUCCUCGCUACCGUGUUCACGCAGCUGCUCGUCUACAACGGAGUCUACCAAUACACGUCUCCGGACUUCCUGUAUGUGCGCUCCUGGCUCCCGUGCAUAUUCUUCUCAGGCGGAGUCACCGUGGGGAACAUCGGACGCCAGCUCGCCAUGGGCGGCGUGGAGAAACCCCACAUGGACUGAACGCAGCACAAAGAAGAGGAAGAAGGACAGGCGAAUUAAAGAUGGACACGUUAUGUGAAGAAGGAGAGAACAGGAGGAAAAAGACUCUGAUUAGACUUCAUCCUUCGUCCUCAUGACAAAGUGCCAUGCACCUCCUUGUGGCCAAACCUCCAUCAGCAUCGAGACAGGAGGACGGUGUUUUGCCUUUUCUUUGAUUUUGAAGUGAUUGAUUUCCCUGCUGGAAGCAUCUUCCUGAGUGGAGGUGUUGAUGCACCCUGGACUUGGUGGAAAAGACUAUUUUUGUUGUUAUUUUUAAUAUAUAUAAUCAUAAAAAGGGAAUUGUACGAGUGGGCGAAACAGAUGUCCUCACUCUCUCUCAGUGAAAUGUAUUCUCAGUUGAAGCGCAGGGAGAUGUGUGUUCCCAGUUUAACCAAAUUAAGUAUUUAUUUUUGAAUGACCCCAAACCAAAUAUGGAAGUAUUCCUUUAAAGUGACGAUGGUGGCUGGAAUCGAGAGACAGGAAGUAUGUAGAGGAGUGCCAAUUAGUCUUUACAGGCUGUGAUUCACCUGCGUAAAUUCAAUAUGCUACGAGUCAAAAAGCUCACAAUUCAAGUUCCUCAGAGAAGUUGCAUUGACCCUUGAGUGGUAUACCUACACCAUACAAUUAUUAUAAAACGGUGGAGGAUGAUGAGGGCCGCGUGUGACAUUUUCGGGGAGAUCUGACCAAAAGAGAUUUGUUUUGUUUUGUCGAAAUUUUAAGAAAAAAAAGUCGGAAUUUCGAGAAGAAAAGUUGGAAUUCUGAGAAAAAAAGUCGGAAAUCUAAGAAAGUCGGAAUUUUAAGAAAACAUUUCGGAAUUCUAAGAAAUUCGGAAUUCUAAGAAAAAAAGUUGGAAAUCUAAGAAAGUCGGAAUUCUACGAAAACAUUUCGGAAUUCUGAGAAAAAAAGUUGGAAAUCUAAGAAAAAGUCGGAAUUCUAAGAAAAAAAUUAACAGAAUCCUGAAAAGAAUAUCAGAUUUUCAGAAAAAAAUAUUUUUCCCCUGCAUAAUCCUCACGUUUGGGGCCCUAAUCCUCCUCCAUAUAAAACCGUUUUUAGUUAUUAAGUUACGGACAGAGUCAGAGCAUUAUUCUGGAGAUAAUGUACCAGGAGGAAAGUACUUUUGCCACGGGUAAACCGGUUUAAACCGCUCUCCGGUGAUUUUAGUUUUGGGAACAUACGGCGAUGAAGAAGACAUUAAGAUUUGCAGUCUGUGAUUGCCUGUGUAUUAUAGAACGUAGUGCUUUUGUCACUAUAACCAUUUUAGUUUCAUCAUUUGUACAAACACGACAUUAUUGCUAAUGUAAAAUGGCUUUCCUUGUGAGACAGGUAUUACUGCCACACUAGACCUACAGUAUGUUAGUUAGCAAGGAUUAAGUGCAAUCAGAGUAUUCAUGAGCCCAUUUAUUUAUUAUUUCUGACAAGUAUAUGCAGUGUGGAUACCUAAAACAAUAACAUCUGUUUGAGAGGUUAGUGUCAGACUAUGCCUUCAGAGUCAAAACCAAUGACUCUCACAAGAGAGGAAACAAUAUAUUGUGUCAAAACAAUUCUCAUCAUAGAAGGAAACCAUAUUUUUUUAAACAUUUUGUGGCGGAUCACUUCGAUCUGCUCACAUUCAGGUGUGUUAUUCUGGAGAGGAAGCUUUAUUUUUGGAGGUGGUGAAGCACCUUUUUGGAUGUUUUAAGCGUUUGUGUGUCUGAUAUUUCAGCGGUGUAUCAUUUUUUGCUACCAUGGAUUUAAGUGAAAAAUAAAAACACCUCAUAAGGAGA